rnacentral:tRNA from 1 species
GAGGGUAUAGCUCAAUGGUAGAGUGUGUGCCUAGGAUGCACAAGGUCCUGGGUCCAAAUUCCACUACCUCUG